GGGCGCAUGGCUCAGUUGGUUAGAGCGCUACACUCACAUUGUAGAGGUCAUAGGUUCGAAUCCUAUUGCGCCCA
rnacentral:tRNA from 1 species